UGGGGAAUUUUGGACAAUGGGGGCAACCCUGAUCCAGCCAUGCCGCGUGCGGGAAGAAGGCCUUCGGGUUGUAAACCGCUUUUAGUCGGGAAGAAAAGGGCGUGGUGAAUACCCUCGUUUUUUGACGGUACCGGCGGAAUAAGCACCGGCUAACUACGUGCCAGCAGCCGCGGUAAUACGUAGGGUGCGAGCGUUAAUCGGAAUUACUGGGCGUAAAGCGUGCGCAGGCGGUUCGCUGUGUCCGAUGUGAAAGCCCCGGGCUUAACCUGGGAAUGGCAUUGGAAACUGGCGGGCUUGAGCGUGGCAGAGGGGGGUGGAAUUCCGCGUGUAGCAGUGAAAUGCGUAGAGAUGCGGAGGAACACCGAUGGCGAAGGCAGCCCCCUGGGCUAACACUGACGCUCAGGCACGAAAGCGUGGGGAGCAAACAGGAUUAGAUACCCUGGUAGUCCACGCCCUAAACGAUGUCGACUGGGUGUUGGGGAAGCGAUUCCCUAGUACCGUAGCUAACGCGUGAAGUCGACCGCCUGGGGAGUACGGCCGCAAGGUUAA
rnacentral:rRNA from 1 species